ACACCCCGGGGUAAUGACGGUACCUGAAGAAUAAGCACCGGCUAACUACGUGCCAGCAGCCGCGGUAAUACGUAGGGUGCAAGCGUUAAUCGGAAUUACUGGGCGUAAAGCGUGCGCAGGCGGUCGUGCAAGACAGAUGUGAAAUCCCCGGGCUUAACCUGGGAACUGCAUUUGUGACUGCACGGCUGGAGUGCGGCAGAGGGGGAUGGAAUUCCGCGUGUAGUAGUGAAAUGCGUAGAUAUGCGGAGGAACACCGAUGGCGAAGGCAAUCCCCUGGGCCUGCACUGACGCUCAUGCACGAAAGCGUGGGGAGCAAACAGGAUUAGAUACCCUGGUAGUCCACGCCCUAAACUAUGGAUACUCGACAUACGCGAUACACUGUGUGUGUCUGAGCGAAAGCAUUAAGUAUCCCACCUGGGAAGUACGACCGCAAGGUUGAAACUCAAAGGAAUUGGCGGGGGUCCUCACAAGCGGUGGAGCAUGUGGUUUAAUUCGAUGAACGCG
rnacentral:rRNA from 1 species